CAUGCCCUGACUGAAGACGAGCAGUUACAUAUAGCUGUUGGUUUCAAACAGAGGCCCAAAGGAUUAUCUUCUGGUGGUCUUUUGGCAGUUCUGGAACUUCAGCCAAGAAUGACCAUUUCCUUUGGAAGAAACAUCC
rnacentral:snoRNA from 1 species